AGAAUCAACGCUGGCGGCGUGCCUAACACAUGCAAGUCGCACGAGAAAGGGACUUCGGUCCUGAGUACAGUGGCGCACGGGUGAGUAACACGUGAAUAAUCUACCUCCGAGUGGGGAAUAACUGAGAGAAAUCUUAGCUAAUACCGCAUAACACUUACGAGUCAAAGCAGCAAUGCGCUUGGAGAGGAGUUCGCGGCAGAUUAGUUAGUUGGCGGGGUAAUGGCCCACCAAGACGAUGAUCUGUAUCCGGCCUGAGAGGGCGCACGGACACACUGGAACUGAAACACGGUCCAGACUCCUACGGGAGGCAGCAGUGGGGAAUUUUGCGCAAUGGGGGAAACCCUGACGCAGCAACGCCGCGUGGAGGAUGAAAUCCCUUGGGAUGUAAACUCCUUUCGAUCGGGAAGAUAAUGACGGUACCGAGAGAAGAAGCCCGGCUAACUUCGCGCCAGCAGCCGC
rnacentral:rRNA from 1 species